CCCAAGAAACCCUCAAGGUUUGCUCUAAUCCUUGCUUAGCUUUGGAUUUGUGUUAUCAAAUCUGUUGGGAAAGUUUGAUUAUUGUGGCUUUGGGAGCUUUUGGAACUUAUUUGUGCUUGUUGGAGUGGAUUUGAAAGCUUGGAUUGUAGUUGGAAGCUUGUUGGUGCUCAUUUUGAGUUUGGGUGCAUAAAGGGAAUCGGCCAAGAU